AAGCAAGACCGCGAGGUGGAGCAAAUCCCCAAAAGCCGUCCCAGUUCGGAUUGCAGGCUGAAACCCGCCUGUAUGAAGUUGGAAUCGCUAGUAAUCGCGGAUCAGCAUGCCGCGGUGAAUAUGUUCCCGGGCCUUGUACACACCGCCCGUCAAGCCAUGGAAGCCGGGGGUGCCUGAAGUGCGCUGCCGCAAGGAGCGCCCUAGGGUAAAACCGGUGACUGGGGCUAAGUCGUAACAAGGUAAC
rnacentral:rRNA from 1 species